rnacentral:rRNA from 1 species
UUCCAGGAAAAGCCUCUAAGCUUCAGAUUGUAAGGAAUCGUACCCCAAACCGACACAGGUGGUCGGGUAGAGAAUACCAAGGCGCUUGAGAGAACUCGGGUGAAGGAACUAGGCAAAAUGGUACCGUAACUUCGGGAGAAGGUACGCUCUCGACGGUGAAGUCCCUCGCGGAUGGAGCUAUUGAGAGUCGCAGAUACCAGGUGGCUGCAACUGUUUAUUAAAAACACAGCACUGUGCAAAAUCGCAAGAUGACGUAUACGGUGUGACGCCUGCCCGGUGCCGGAAGGUUAAUUGAUGGGGUUAGACUUCGGUCGAAGCUCUUGAUCGAAGCCCCGGUAAACGGCGGCCGUAACUAUAACGGUCCUAAGGUAGCGAAAUUCCUUGUCGGGUAAGUUCCGACCUGCACGAAUGGCGUAAUGAUGGCCACGCUGUCUCCACCCGAGACUCAGUGAAAUUGAAAUCGCUGUGAAGAUGCAGUGUACCCGCGGCUAGACGGAAAGACCCCGUGAACCUUUACUACAGCUUGGCACUGAACAUUGACCCUACAUGUGUAGGAUAGGUGGGAGGCUUUGAAGCGCAGUCGCUAGAUUGCGUGGAGCCGUCCUUGAAAUACCACCCUUGUAGUGUUGAUGUUCUAACGUCGACCCCUUAUCGGGGUUGCGGACAGUGCCUGGUGGGUAGUUUGACUGGGGCGGUCUCCUCCCAAAGCGUAACGGAGGAGCACGAAGGUGGGCUAAUCACGGUUGGACAUCGUGAGGUUAGUGCAAUGGCAUAAGCCCGCUUGACUGCGAGAAUGACAAUUCGAGCAGGUGCGAAAGCAGGUCAUAGUGAUCCGGUGGUUCUGAAUGGAAGGGCCAUCGCUCAACGGAUAAAAGGUACUCCGGGGAUAACAGGCUGAUACCGCCCAAGAGUUCAUAUCGACGGCGGUGUUUGGCACCUCGAUGUCGGCUCAUCACAUCCUGGGGCUGAAGUCGGUCCCAAGGGUAUGGCUGUUCGCCAUUUAAAGUGGUACGCGAGCUGGGUUUAGAACGUCGUGAGACAGUUCGGUCCCUAUCUGCCGUGGGCGUUGGAGAAUUGAAAGGGGCUGCUCCUAGUACGAGAGGACCGGAGUGGACGAACCUCUGGUGUUCGGGUUGUGUCGCCAGACGCAUUGCCCGGUAGCUAAGUUCGGGAUCGAUAACCGCUGAAAGCAUCUAAGCGGGAAGCGAGCCUUGAGAUGAGUUCUCCCUGAUACUUUAAGUAUCCUAAAGGGUUGUCGUAGACUACGACGUUGAUAGGCAGGGUGUGUAAGCGUUGUGAGGCGUUGAGCUAACCUGUACUAAUUGCCCGUGAGGCUUAACCAU